UACGUAGGGUGCAAGCGUUAAUCGGAAUGACUGGGCGUAAAGCGUGCGCAGGCGGUGAUGUAAGACAGAUGUGAAAUCCCCGGGCUCAACCUGGGAACUGCAUUUGUGACUGCAUCGCUGGAGUGCGGCAGAGGGGGAUGGAAUUCCGCGUGUAGCAGUGAAAUGCGUAGAUAUGCGGAGGAACACCGAUGGCGAAGGCAAUCCCCUGGGCCUGCACUGACGCUCAUGCACGAAAGCGUGGGGAGCAAACAGG
rnacentral:rRNA from 1 species